UACGGGUGAAAGCAGGGGACCUUCGGGCCUUGCGCGAUUGAAUGAGCCGAUGUCGGAUUAGCUAGUUGGCGGGGUAAAGGCCCACCAAGGCGACGAUCCGUAGCUGGUCUGAGAGGAUGAUCAGCCACACUGGAACUGAGACACGGUCCAGGCUCCUACGGGAGGCAGCAGUGGGGAAUAUUGGACAAUGGGCGCAAGCCUGAUCCAGCCAUACCGCGUGGGUGAAGAAGGCCUUCGGGUUGUAAAGCCCUUUUGUUGGGAAAGAAAUCCAGCUGGUUAAUACCCGGUUGGGAUGACGGUACCCA
rnacentral:rRNA from 1 species